rnacentral:lncRNA from 1 species
UGAUUUUGCGGAUAUUCAAAAGUCGACUCUAAAUGAUAAUAAUUAUAUCUCAUGUUUUUUAUUACGAGAAAAAUAAUUAGUUUUCUCGCUGCUCAUUUAUUUUGAGAAACUGUUUUGUUUGUAUACAAAUUUUAUAAUUUCUUGUAUUUAGUGUUUGAAUCGUGCUAUCUAAAUUUACUAUAACAAAUUAAGGUUUGAAGAUCAGAUCCGGCUUCUGAUAAUUUCAUAUGUGAUCUCUUUGGAUAGCGUAGAGGAACAUUAUUUUAUUG